UGUCAAAGUGCUUACCUAGUUUCUCC
rnacentral:piRNA from 1 species